rnacentral:rRNA from 1 species
CUAUCACACGAGCCUGCGUAAGAUUCCCUAUUUGGUGGGGUAAAAGCUCUCCAAUGCAACAAUCUUUGGCUGGUCUGAAAGGAUGAUCCUUCACACUGGAACUGAGACACGGUCCAUACUCCUUUGGAGGCAGCAGUGGGGAAUAUUGGACAAUGGGCGCAAGCCUGAUUCAGCAAUACCGCGUGUGUGAAGAAGGCCUAAGGGUUGUAAAGCACUUUCAAUUAGGAAGAAAAACUAAUGGUUAAUACCCAAUUAGUCUUGACGUUACUUUUAGAAGAAGCACCGGCUAACUCCGUGCCAGCAGCCGCGGUAAUACGGAAGGUGCAAGCGUUAAUCGGAAUUACUGGGCGUAAAGCGUGCGUAGGUGGUUUGUUAAGUCAGAUGUGAAAGCCCCGGGCUCAACCUGGGAACUGCAUUUGAAACUGGUAAACUAGAGUAUAGGAGAGGAAAGUGGAAUUUCUGGUGUAGCGGUGAAAUGCGUAGAUAUUAGAAGGAACAUCAAUGGCGAAGGCAGCUUUCUGGACUAAUACUGACACUGAGGUACGAAAGCGUGGGUAGCAAACAGGAUUAGAUACCCUGGUAGUCCACGCCGUAAACGAUGAUAACUAGUCGUUGAGGGGGAUUACCCUUUAGUGGCGAAGCUAACGCGUUAAGUUAUCCGCCUGGGGAGUACGGCCGCAAGGUUAAAACUCAAAGGAAUUGACGGGGACCCGCACAAGCGGUGGAGCAUGUGGUUU